GUUCCUACGGGAGGCAGCAGUGGGGAAUAUUGCACAAUGGGGGAAACCCUGAUGCAGCGACGCCGCGUGGGUGACGAAGUAUUUCGGUAUGUAAAGCCCUAUCAGCAGGGAAGAAGAUGACAGUACCUGACUAAGAAGCCCCGGCUAACUACGUGCCAGCAGCCGCGGUAAUACGUAGGGGGCAAGCGUUAUCCGGAUUUACUGGGUGUAAAGGGAGCGUAGGUGGCAUGGCAAGCCAGAAGUGAAAGCCCGGGGCCCAACCCCGGGACUGCUCUUGGAACUGCAUGGCUGGAGU
rnacentral:rRNA from 1 species